rnacentral:lncRNA from 1 species
AACUUCCCAGGCUUGCUUUUUAUUUUGUAUUAACAAUGCACUGUACUAAAAUUUCCCAUACUGGAACACAGUCCCUAGUGGUUUUCAAGCUAUAAACUGAGUAAACAGUCCCUUUCUUAUUGAGUGUCUGUGUGAGUGCAUGUUGUUUCUGGAAUACAUCAUAUUCAUUUGCAGAAACCCUGUGUAUGGAUCUUUAACACUUCUUUCCCCCUUUUUUUUUCCGAGGUGCCUAGAAUAAUGGCUUUUUAAAACAGUAAUAUAGCGGUGUAACUUGUGGGGAAAACCACACUGUGGCUUACAGUCUGAAUUAAACGUGUGUCAUUGUGGAAACCUGAUAUUUUGGACCAGAUCCCUGUCUGAACAGGUUGUAUGCUGCCCUUUUCAAAAUCAAGCUAUCAGAGGAUGCCCUUCAGCAGAAGUGUUAAGAGGACUUGGCAAAGCUUUCUGGUGAGUGGGGCACACCACUCAGGGAGCACUGGAGGAAGGAUUUUGUCACUGAUGCUCUUCCAAGACAUCAACACCAACUGGCAUCACUGGCAUUCAUCUUUUGGGUGAGACUGUGACUGGAAUCCUCUCUCUCAAAGCAAACACUGCAGGAUCAAAAGUGUCAAAAAUCUGCAUCACUGCCUCAUUAUCAAUCACUGGGAUAUUUCUGGAGAAGCAGUUUGAUUUGCAUCGUUGGACCUCCUACCUA